AGCUUUGCGCAGUGGCAGUAUGGCCAAUGAGGUUUAUCUGAGGUGCGAUUAUUGCUAACUGAAAAUGAUUUGACUGUUUUCUGAUCAAACCAUUACCAUAUUCAGAGAAAAAUAAUUGUCCAUUUGAGUAGG
rnacentral:snRNA from 1 species